GAGUAGCAAUACUCGAGUGGCGAACGGGUGAGUAACACGUGAGCAACCUGCCUUACACAACGGGAUACCUACUAGGAAACAGUAGUUAAUACGGUAUAAGACCACAGUACCGCAUGAUACAGUGGUAAAAGAUUUAUCGGUGUAAGAUGGGCUCGCGGCGCAUUAGCUAGUUGGAGAGGUAACGGCUCACCAAGGCGACGAUGCGUAGCCGACCUGAGAGGGUGAUCGGCCACAUUGGGACUGAGAUACGGCCCAGACUCCUACGGGAGGCAGCAGUGGGGAAUAUUGGGCAAUGGAGGAAACUCUUACCCAGACAAUGCCGCGUGAAUGAUGAAGGUCGUAAGAUUGUAAAGUUCUUUAGUCAGGGACAAAGAAAGUGAUAGUACCUGAAGAAUAAGCUCCGGCUAACUACGUGCCAGCCGCCGC
rnacentral:rRNA from 1 species